rnacentral:rRNA from 1 species
AACGAACGCUGGCGGCAUGCCUAGCACAUGCAAGUCGAACGAGACCUUCGGGUCUAGUGGCGCACGGGUGCGUAACGCGUGGGAACCUGCCCUUAGGUUCGGAAUAACUCCCCGAAAGGGGUGCUAAUACCGGAUAAUGUCUUCGGACCAAAGAUUUAUCGCCUUUGGAUGGGCCCGCGUUGGAUUAGCUAGUUGGUAGGGUAAAAGCCUACCAAGGCGACGAUCCAUAGCUGGUCUGAGAGGAUGAUCAGCCACACUGGGACUGAGACACGGCCCAGACUCCUACGGGAGGCAGCAGUGGGGAAUAUUGGACAAUGGGCGAAAGCCUGAUCCAGCAAGGCCGCGUGAGUGAUGAAGGCCUUAGGGUUGUAAAGCUCUUUUACCCGGGAUGAUAAGGACAGUACCGGGAGAAUAAGCUCCGGCUACUCCGUG